rnacentral:rRNA from 1 species
ACGUAGGUGACAAGCGUUAUCCGGAAUUACUGGGCGUAAAGCGCACGCAGGCGGCUGAUUAAGUCUGACGUGAAAGCUCCUGGCUUAACUGGGAGAGGUCGUUGGAAACUGGGAGACUUGAGGCAAUGAGAGGGGUGUGGAAUUCCCGGUGUAGUGGUGGAAUGCGUAGAGAUCGGGAGGAACACCAGUGGCGAAAGCGGCACCCUGGCAUUGGCCUGACGCUGAGGUGCGAAAGCGUGGGGAGCAAACGG